rnacentral:rRNA from 1 species
AUUGAACGCUGGCGGCAGGCCUAACACAUGCAAGUCGCACGAGUGGCGGACGGGUGAGUAAUGUCUGGGAAACUGCCUGAUGGAGGGGGAUAACUACUGGACACGGUAGCUAAUACCGCAUACCAUCGGAUGUGCCCAGAUGGGAUUGGCUUGUUGGUGGGGUAACGGCUCACUAAGGCGACGAUCCCUAGCUGGUCUGAGAGGAUGACCAGCCACACUGGAACUGAGACACGGUCCAGACUCCUACGGGAGGCAGCAGUGGGGAAUAUUGCACAAUGGGCGCAAGCCUGAUGCAGCCAUGCCGCGUGUAUGAAGAAGGCCUGCGGUUUGUAAAGUACUUUCAGCGGGGAGGCGUUACCCGCAGAAGAAGCACCGGCUAACUCCGUGCCAGCAGCCGCGGUAAUUC